GACGAACGCUGGCGGCGUGCUUAAUACAUGCAAGUCAACGACUUUUAGAGUAGCAAUAUUUUAAAAGGAGUGGCGCACGGGUGAGUAACACGUAGGUAAUCUGCCUUCAGGACUGACACAACUCGUCGAAAGACGGGCUAAUAUCAGAUAAUGCAGCGGCUCCGCAUGGAGACAGUUGUUAAAGUACAAGCGCCUGAAGAUGAGCCCUGCGGUCCAUUAGCUAGUUGGUAGAGUAACAGCCUACCAAGGCAACGAUGGAUAGCUGGUCUGAGAGGAUGAUCAGCCACACUGGAACUGAGACACGGUCCCAGACUCCUACGGGAGGCAGCAGUAAGGAAUAUUGCUCAAUGGCCGAAAGGCUGAAGCAGCAACGCC
rnacentral:rRNA from 1 species